CUUAGUGACUGAGUGCGGACGGGUGAGUAACGCGUGGGUAACCUGCCUCAUACAGGGGGAUAACAGUUAGAAAUGGCUGCUAAUACCGCAUAAGCGCACGGUACUGCAUGGUACAGUGUGAAAAGCUCCGGUGGUAUGAGAUGGACCCGCGUUGGAUUAGCUAGUUGGCAGGGUAACGGCCUACCAAGGCGACGAUCCAUAGCCGGCCUGAGAGGGUGGACGGCCACAUUGGGACUGAGACACGGCCCAGACUCCUACGGGAGGCAGCAGUGGGGAAUAUUGCACAAUGGGGGAAACCCUGAUGCAGCGACGCCGCGUGAGCGAAGAAGUAUUUCGGUAUGUAAAGCUCUAUCAGCAGGGAAGAAAAUGACGGUACCUGACUAAGAAGCCCCGGCUAACUACGUGCCAGCAGCCGCGGUAAUACGUAGGGGGCAAGCGUUAUCCGGAUUUACUGGGUGUAAAGGGAGCGUAGACGGAAUGGCAAGUCUGAUGUGAAAGGCCGGGGCUCAACCCCGGGACUGCAUUGGAAACUGUCAAUCUAGAGUACCGGAGGGGUAAGUGGAAUUCCUAGUGUAGCGGUGAAAUGCGUAGAUAUUAGGAGGA
rnacentral:rRNA from 1 species